GACGAACGCUGGCGGCGUGCUUAACACAUGCAAGUCGAACGGAAAGGCCCUGCUCUUGUGGCGUGCUCGAUUGGCGCACGGGUGUGUAACACGCGAGUAAACCCCCCUUGUCUUUCGGGUAACUUUAGGGAAAAGGGGCUAUUACCGGGUAGGAGAUCCUGCUGCACGGGGGGGGUUGGUAAGUUUCGGCGGUUGGGGCUGGAAUCGAGGGUUACCGGCUUGAUGGUGGGGUAGGGGCUUACCAAGCUUGUGACGGGUAGCCGGCCUGAGAGGGUGACCGGCCACAUUGGGACUGAGGUACGGCCCAGACGCGUACGGGAGGCAGCAGUGGGGAAUAUUGCACAAUGGGCGGAAGCCUGAUGCAGCAACGCCGCGUGCGUGAUGACGGCCUUCGGGUUGUAAACCGCUUUCGCCUGUGACGAAGCGUGAGUGACGGUAAUGGGUAAAGAAGCACCGGCUAACUACGUG
rnacentral:rRNA from 1 species